AUUGACCUGGCGGCAGGCUUACACCUGCAGUAAGCGGGGAAGGUAGCUUGCUACUAACCUAGCGGCGGACGGGUGAGUAAUGCUUAGGAAUCUGCCUAUUAGUGGGGGACAACGUUUCGAAAGGAACGCUAAUACCGCAUACGUCCUACGGGAGAAAGCAGGGAUCAUUUGACCUUGUGCUAAUAGAUGAGCCUAAGUCGGAUUAGCUAGUUGGUGGGGUAAAGGCCUACCAAGGCGACGAUCUGUAGCGGGUCUGAGAGGAUGAUCCGCCACACUGGGACUGAGACACGGCCCAGACUCCUACGGGAGGCAGCAGUGGGGAAUAUUGGACAAUGGGCGCAAGCCUGAUCCAGCCAUGCCGCGUGUGUGAAGAAGGCCUUAUGGUUGUAAAGCACUUUAAGCGAGGAGGAGGAGCUUCAGGUUAAUACCCUGGAUGCUUGGACGUUACUCGCAGAAUAAGCACCGGCUAAC
rnacentral:rRNA from 1 species